UGGACGUGAACCUUGCCCCGCUCCGUGCCUGGGAUGAUUUCUUCCCGGGCUCUGAUCGUUUCGCACGGCCGGACUUCAGGGAUAUAUCCAAAUGGAACAACCGUGUAGUGAGCAAUCUGCUCUAUUACCAGACCAACUACCUGGUGGUGGCUGCCAUGAUGAUUUCAGUCGUUGGGUUUCUGAGCCCCUUCAACAUGAUCCUUGGAGGAAUCAUUGUGGUGCUGGUGUUCACGGGGUUUGUGUGGGCAGCACACAAUAAAGACAUCCUCCGCCGGAUGAAGAAGCAGUACCCAACGGCCUUUGUCAUGGUGGUCAUGCUAGCCAGCUACUUCCUCAUAUCCAUGUUUGGGGGUGUCAUGGUCUUUGUGUUUGGCAUCACGUUUCCCUUAUUGUGUAAGUAAACCUGCUUUCCUUGUCUCCCUUCAUUAAAGUAAAUGUAGACAAAGUUGGCCAGUGGGCAUUGCAUAACCUCUCGGAGUAUCUAACGCAGUGUCAGAAUAGUCUAAGGCAGCACAUGAGAGCCUAGCAGUUGCCUAUUUCCACAGAUAUAUGUGGGCACUUGCAAUGUAUCAUGUGGCUCUUCUUACUCGGCGAAACCAAAAAAAGCAAAUGCAAAUCCCAGUCACAUGACAAGAACUGGCACAACCUGCAUGGCAUCUGCAUGGCGGCUCACAGCCAUCCAUAACUCUAGCUGCAGGGGAUCUGAUACCUUCUUCUAACCUGUGCAGUGCAGGCAGCAGGCAUGCGUGAGGUAUGCAUGCAUGCAUACAUAUGUGCACAAAUAAAGUAAAACACUUAUAUUCAUAGAAAAGUAGUAUACCUGAAAAAAAUAACUGGACCACAGUA
rnacentral:lncRNA from 1 species